AGCAGCCGCGGUAAUUCCAGCCCCAAUAGCGCAUAUUAAAGUUGUUGCAGUUAAAAAGCUCGUAGUUGAACUUCAGGCCUGUCCAGAUGGUCCGCCUUAAUUGGUGUGUACUGUCCUUGGGUGGGUCCUACCUUCUGGCGAAGCGGCAUGGCCUUAGUUGGUUGUGUCGGGGAACCAGGACUUUUACUGUGAAAAAAUUAGAGUGUUCAAAGCAGGCAAAUAUGCUCGAAUACAUUAGCAUGGAAUAAUGGAAUAGGACGAUGGUUCUAUUUUGUUGGUUCUAGGACCGUUGUAAUGAUUAAUAGGGAUAGUUGGGGGCAUUAGUAUUCAAUUGUCAGAGGUGAAAUUCUUGGAUUUAUUGAAGACUAACUACUGCGAAAGCAUUUGCCAAGGAUGUUUUCAUUAAUCAAGAACGAAAGUUAGGGGAUCGAAGACGAUCAGAUACCGUCGUAGUCUUAACCAUAAACUAUGCCGACUA
rnacentral:rRNA from 1 species